UGUGAGCUAAUGAAAGCAAAAGCCUGUGUUCACUAGAGUAUAAAAUUCACAUUUGGCCAGUGCAGGCUGUGCAAUCUGAUAUUAUGAGGCUGUCCGACACACACACAGGCACAUAUACACACACACAGCAGCAAGGAAAAGAGCUAAAAAGACACGGAGAAAGACAAAAGGCGAAUAAUAUUUGAAGGAUUGUGUCCUGGGAUUUCGAAAGAAACGCUGAGUUUGUUUCAAGAUGGCAGCCGUGCAGGACAACGUUGGCUCUGCUGAAGAUACAGGCGAAAUAAGGUCAGAAUUCACAAAGCUUGAACAAUCCAACGCAGCGAACUGCAAAACUUGUCGCAGGAGCUUGCAUUUCUGGCCUGAUGCAUUCAUAAAUGGAAGUCUGUGGGGAGAAAAGUGCAGUGUGACCGCAGCUUGAAUGAAUGAAUGAAUAAAUACAUUCUCAUGGACUUAUUGUAUAAUCAACUGUAUUUUGAGUAAAAAUGUGCAUAGCAUAAAUAAAAUUUAAAUGAAUG